AUUGAACGCUGGCGGCAUGCCUUACACAUGCAAGUCGAACGGCAGCACGGGCUUCGGUCUGGUGGCGAGUGGCGAACGGGUGAGUAAUGUAUCGGAACGUACCUUUCAGUGGGGGAUAACGUAGCGAAAGUUACGCUAAUACCGCAUAUUCUGUGAGCAGGAAAGCAGGGGAUCGCAAGACCUUGCGCUGAUUGAGCGGCCGAUAUCAAAUUAGCUAGUUGGUGGGGUAAAGGCUCACCAAGGCGACGAUCUGUAGCGGGUCUGAGAGGAUGAUGCGCCACACUGGCACUGAGCAACGGGCCAGCAGCCGACGGGAGGCAGCAGUGGGGAAUUGUGGACCAUGGGGGCAACCCUGAUCCAGCCAUGCCGCGUGAGUGAAGAAGGCCUUGGGGGUGUAAAGCUCUUUCGGCCGGGAAGAAAUCGCAUAGGUUAAUACCUGGGGUCCAUGACGGUACCGUAAGAAUAAGCACCGGCUAACUACGUGCCAGCCGCCGCAGUAAUAC
rnacentral:rRNA from 1 species